ACUGCAGUAUGCUGCUGGUUCAGAAAAAACAAAAAAAGCGCCAGGAUGAAAAGAUCCUUUAGAGGCCUGUGGGACUCUCCAGUCUCCAAAAUCCAUGGGUCUGCUUGGAAGACUGGUGUUUAUGCCACUUGUCUUUGCUUAUGAAGGAAGCUGUAUGUUCAGCUUCUGGGCUUCCCAAAGGUAGCAGUCUAAGAAAUGGAAAUUAAAUCUCUCUUUUACUUCCAGUUCACUCUCAUGUCCAGCUCUGAGCAUUUUAGAAACUCCUCACCUAAUCAAAACUGAAGGUUCAGCAGCACAGGCUUGGGCAGCCCAACCCUUCUACCUCUGUUUUGUGAGGACAGCAGCACUGUGCCUCCCAGGGAAGCUGUGAGGAUGCCCCAGAAGAACUUAGAUGCUGUUACCAUUGCAUCCAGGAAGAAGACACACAGUUACACACACUGUAAGUGUGUGAUGCCAAUGAGAAAUGCUAGGAAAUAUCAGAGCUGGCCAGGACCCAUGAAUCACAUCAAAGAGCAAUAUGGCUACAUGUGAGUGUGUGUUUCAUUUACUCUGCCAGGGGC